GACGAACGCUGGCGGCGUGCCUAAUACAUGCAAGUAGAACGCUGAAGAGAGGAGCUUGCUCUUCUUGGAUGAGUUGCGAACGGGUGAGUAACGCGUAGGUAACCUGCCUGGUAGCGGGGGAUAACUAUUGGAAACGAUAGCUAAUACCGCAUGAAAUGGAUUAUCGCAUGAUAAUUCAUUGAAAGGUGCAAAUGCAUCACUACCAGAUGGGCCUGCGUUGUAUUAGCUAGUUGGUGGGGUAACGGCUCACCAAGGCGACGAUACAUAGCCGACCUGAGAGGGUGAUCGGCCACACUGGGACUGAGACACGGCCCAGACUCCUACGGGAGGCAGCAGUAGGGAAUCUUCGGCAAUGGACGGAAGUCUGACCGAGCAACGCCGCGUGAGUGAAGAAGGUUUUCGGAUCGUAAAGCUCUGUUGUAAGAGAAGAACGAGUGUGAGAGUGGAAAGUUCACACUGUGACGGUAUCUACCAG
rnacentral:rRNA from 1 species